GUCCAAACAGCGGCAAAGCGUGAACUUUGUUCUCUAAAAUAAUACAUAUAACGUUAACGACCGCGAUAUUCAAGAAAUGCGAAGAAAUCUGCGAAUUCAGAGUCAUUACCAAAGUUGUUCAACACCAAGUCGUGUUAAGGUUGAACAAUAUCGAAAGCGAAAACUUACGUCUUGGUAGAAUCGUAUUCGUCUCGUAAAGAUGCCGCGAACUUUCUACCCACGGUUUUCGAGAUCGAAGAAUGAAUAGUCUUACUGAUUCGCCUCGGAGUACUGGCGAUGCUGAGAUCUUCUUGCAGAACGUGACUAUAGAUCUCCAGAGUCAAUUCGAAUUCGAUCGAACAAAGGUCGAGGACAUUUUUAAACACAGAAAAUUGGCGUGACCGCUCGACGUGUUAAAUACUGUUAUUAGUACGACUUACAAUAACAAAACGUC